GUAGGGGGGGCUAGCGUUGUCCGGAAUCACUGGGCUAAAGGGUUCGCAGGCGGAAUAACAAGUCAGAUGUGAAAGGGCAUGGGGCUCAACCCAUGUAAGCAUUUGAAACUGUAAUUCUUGAGAAGUGGAGAGGUAAGUGGAAUUCCUAGUGUAGCGGUGAAAUGCGUAGAUAUUAGGAGGAAUACCUGUGGCGAAGGCGACUUACUGGACACAAAUCUGACGCUGAGGAACGAAAGCGUGGGUAGCAAACAGGAUUAGAUACCCUGGUAGUCCACGCCGUAAACGAUGAGUGCUAGGUGUCGGGGGAGACCUCGGUGCCGGCGUUAACACAAUAAGCACUCCGCCUGGGGAGUACGUGCGCAAAGCAUG
rnacentral:rRNA from 1 species